rnacentral:rRNA from 1 species
CUACGGGUGGCUGCAGUGGGGAAUAUUGGACAAUGGGCGCAAGCCUGAUCCAGCCAUGCCGCGUGUGUGAAGAAGGCCUUAGGGUUGUAAAGCACUUUCAGUAGGGAGGAAAGGGGAUUGGCUAAUAUCCAAUGUCUGUGACGUUACCUACAGAAGAAGCACCGGCUAACUCCGUGCCAGCAGCCGCGGUAAUACGGAGGGUGCAAGCGUUAAUCGGAAUUACUGGGCGUAAAGCGCACGCAGGCGGUCAACUAAGUCAGAUGUGAAAUCCCCGGGCUCAACCUGGGAAUGGCAUUUGAAACUGGUUGACUAUAGUUUCGUAGAGGGGGGUAGAAUUCCAGGUGUAGCGGUGAAAUGCGUAGAGAUCUGGAGGAAUACCAAUGGCGAAGGCAGCCCCCUGGACGGUAACUGACGCUCAGGUGCGAAAGCGUGGGGAGCAAACAGGAUUAGAUACCCCUGUAGUC